CCCUCUGCGUCUCUACUCACCUUAAGGUCACGAUGGACCACUCCCAUCUGGUGGCAGUGGAGAACAGCCUCAAGGAUCUGCUGAAUGCAAUGACUGCAUGCAAACACCAGGGGGUGUGGGCUUGUUCGAGAUGAACUGCUACCGGCUGGCGAGAUCUGGGAAGGAGUAAAGAGACUGUCAGGUGGCAGCCAAUCUUUGUGGUGCCAUAUGAAGCUGAUCAAGCCUACUGUGUUUACUUUCUGUUUGCUCAUUUUGUUUUGACUCAGUUUUCCCAUGUGUUUCAUUAUUUCAUCUCAUUCACCUGUCCCUUGUUAAUCAACUCAUUAGUCCCCUCGUUUAGUUCUGGUAUAAGUACUCCCUGUUCUGUUCAUUGUCCUGUCUCUUCA